ensembl:lncRNA
AUUGCUGGAGCUCCCCUGUGUCCCUGAGGCCUUCUGAAGAUCAAUUAAAGCAGUGUGCGGACAGAUGGAGGGCUCAGAUCCGGAGUUCUACCCCAGCCUCCUUCCUUCGUUCUCUGGGGGCCUUUCAGGUUAAUUGCCCUUACAUCUCACUGCCUUUUCCUGCUGGCCCCGAAGGACUCUGCCUAAUGUUGUCCUACGUGGCCGCUGCCACGAUGAACCCAGGCUGGGAGAGAAUUGAUUUGCUCCAUCAGGCAGCAGCUGCAGUCGCUGCCACUGUUUAAUUCUCAGUUCAAGCCCCGUGGAGAAUGCAAACUGCUCUGCUCCUCGGCCAAUUUACAGCUGCUGACAAGCUGCUAAACAACAUCUCUGUUAGGUGCACGUGCCGGUCCGUGGGCUCCUCUCCGGGUGACAGCAUGAUGCACAGGUAAGGAGUGUGGAUGCUGCUGCUGUUCCUAAUGAGGCUGAGUGCUGUGGGCUAUCCCGAGCCCUGGCUCUGCUCUGCAGUCCUGUCUGCGUUCAGAGGGUGCGUCACGAUGCCUUCAACCAGCUUUCAGAGCAGCCUGAUGGAUGGAAGCGAGCAGGAGAUGAAGCUGGGACUGCCGGCGCUGGCUGCCCCGGGUGAUGCUGAUGGAUGGAGGCACUGAUGGUGGAGCACGUGGAACCUGUGUUACACCUCCGAGCACAUGGGAACAGACACGAGCCUGCAGGAACAGGAGUUGAGCAAAACUGCUUGAAACUUGGAGGAUUUGGGUUGCUCUGAUUGGAAACUGGGGUUGUAAGAGAUGCCCUGAGAUGCUCAGCCCAGUGCCCUGUAGUGACCCAAGGGAUGGAUGGCCAGGAGGUGGUGAACCCAUUUUAGGGCUGGAUAUCUGCAUUUUGGGCAUUGCAGGCCUGUUGCACAGCACCCUGUUGCUCCAGGCCUGGCACCUUUAGCCAUCCCCACCCACACCGUUUGGGUAAAUUAUCCCUUGAAUAAUGACAAAUCAAUUCAGUGCUGCUUCCAAGGAGAAUGAUCUGGCCUACCUUUCCCAGAAAGCAAUAAACCUGUAUGCUCUCGCUGCCAAAAAUCAGCUGCAGCAAUGCAGUCAAAGCAAGGAGUAAGUCAACCAUAGAGACAGCAAGUUAAUGAAUUAUCCUCUUCCAACUGGAGGCACUCAGAGGCAGCGCAAACGAAACAUACCCAGAACUGCUGUUGGUUUUAUUGGGCUAUUCUACCUCUUUGCCUCCUUUUUCCUCGAGGUGGGGAGGCUCAGGGGUCUCCUCCACAUCUGCCUGUGGGCUCUGAGUGCUGCUGCUGCUUGGGUGGCACGUGGGCAUCUCUUAUGGAGUGGCACCGUUUGCGUUGGCAGCACUGAUGGGGCACUCCAUCAAGCAAUUAGGAACAAAAAAAUCCAGUCCAACUCGUUCCAAAACACAAAGGCGGCAGCCAGCAUAAAUUAAUGCGUGUAGUUCUUAAGUGUUUGCUAUGGGGCUGUUUUCUUCUGCCAUCCCAUGGGAGAUAAUUAAGAAAGAGGCUCUUUCUCCGUCACUGUUCGGUAUCAGGAUAUCUCGCCGUAUCCCCUUAACUCCAGAGAACCUCCUUGGAAGUGACAGAUGAUCAAUUUGCUGUAUUGAGAAGAGGAGGUUUCUUUCUUUUCCAUUUGAAGUUUAGGCAUUAUUAUUUCCCUGGGCGGAUUGAUUCAUAUUUGCUCGGUUUCAUUAGCUGAAAAGUGCAGUCUAUGACCAAAUUAGCAGCGAGCUCUCAGUGAUCAAGAAGGAUGGAGCAGUUUGUUCUUAUCAGUAAUUGAUCACGGAGCUAUUAAUGGAUGCAAAUGUAUUUGUUCACUCUGCUUUGAUAAAUAACGGCUAGCUGCUCCCUGUGAUAUGAUUUGUGCUCGCACUUCCUCUUUGCUGUGCAGUCCCCAGGCCAUGGGCUGAAGCAUCUGGCUAACAGGAGACGGAUCUUCUGCUUAAUUUUCCUUUGCUAUCAGUUAUUGAUGGGCAAACUUCCCCAGCUGAUUCAUCCUGCUGCUUUGCUCCAGCUUUCAGCAGGCUGUGGUUUCUGUGGUCAGAGAGCUGCUUCCCAUUCUGUCGUGUGGGUUGGUUUUCAGUCUGGCGUUAGUUAACCUUUAGGAGCUGGUCCUGCAGGAGAUGCACCCCAUGUUGCAAUGUGGGCACCCAGAGGCCUCCAGUCUGUGUGUUUGGCCUCAGUGUUGAUUCCUUGAUGGAAAUCCUUGCUGGAUGCAGCUCUGCAUCCCUAUCUGCCUCACUCAUGCUUCCUAAAACCUCCGAGAGAGACACAGAGGCUGUUUCAAGGAUCAGCAGCACGGGUGAUGCGUGGAGCUGUGCAUCUCACUCAGAAGCCUUGGCAUGACUUGGGGAGCUGCUGCAAUGCAGUGCAGUGUGCUUUUGCCCCCUCUAACUGCCUUUUAUCAGCUCUUGGAAGCAGUUUGUCCCUGGCAGAUGCAGCUCAGCUCUCAGCCCGAUGGGGCUUUGGUCUCCGGUGGGGCUCCCAGCACUUCUGUGAUGUGCAAAUCAGCAGGGAUGGGAAGAGGCACUCCGGGAGGACACCUUGCCUCCUUUCGCUCCAUAUAAAUCUCGAUAAUGUUUUUUUCCCUCUUCAUUAUGGUAAUGGCAUCAUUUUUGUGCAUGGCAAUUCUCAGACACAAAUAGCACUAAAUCACCUUCCUCUUCUAUGGUAACUAC